rnacentral:rRNA from 1 species
AGGGUUCGAUUCUGGCUCAGGACGAACGCUGGCGGCGUGCUUAACACAUGCAAGUCGAACGAGAAGAGAUGAGAAGCUUGCUUCUUAUCAAUUCGAGUGGCAAACGGGUGAGUAACGCGUAAGCAACCUGCCCUUCAGAUGGGGACAACAUUUGGAAACGAAUGCUAAUACCGGAUAUUAUGUGAGUUUCGCAUGAAAUUCAUAUGAAAGCUAUAUGCGCUGCAGGAGAGCUUUGCGUCCUAUUAGCUAGUUGGUGAGGUAACGGCUCACCAAGGCGAUGAUAGGUAGCCGGCCUGAGAGGGUGAACGGCCACAAGGGGACUGAGACACGGCCCUU